rnacentral:rRNA from 1 species
UUAAGUGACUAAGCGUACAAGGUGGAUGCCUUGGCAAUCAGAGGCGAAGAAGGACGUGCUAAUCUGCGAAAAGCUUGGAUGAGUCGAUAAGAGGCGUUUAAUCCAAGAUAUCCGAAUGGGGAAACCCAGUAGAUGAAGAAUCUACUAUCAACAAGUGAAUUCAUAGCUUGUUGAGGCAAACCGGGAGAACUGAAACAUCUAAGUACCCCGAGGAAAAGAAAUCAACCGAGAUUUCGUCAGUAGCGGCGAGCGAAAGCGAAAGAGCCAGUAAGUGAUAGCAGUAUAGUGAGGAGAAUGUGUUGGGAAGCACAAUCAAAGAGGGUGAUAAUCCCGUAUCUAAAAACCAUAUUGUGGUACUAAGCUAACGAGAAGUAGGGCGGGACACGUGAUAUCCUGUUUGAAGAAGGGGGGACCAUCCUCCAAGGCUAAAUACUCCUGAUUGACCGAUAGUGAACCAGUACUGUGAAGGAAAGGCGAAAAGAACCCCGGUGAGGGGAGUGAAAUAGAACCUGAAACCUUGUACGUACAAGCAGUGGGAGCCCCAUCACUUAAUCCGAUUGGAAGGUGAUGAAAAGCAACCGCACUUAAACAAUGGUAAGAGGAGCGAAGCGAGUCAAACCACCCAAAAGAAGCAGUGGGAUUAAGUGAUGGGGUGACUGCGUACCUUUUGUAUAAUGGGUCAGCGACUUAUAUUUUGUAGCGAGGUUAACCGAAUAGGGGAGCCGAAGGGAAACCGAGUCUUAACUGGGCGAGUAGUUGCAAGGUAUAGACCCGAAACCCGGUGAUCUAGCCAUGGGCAGGUUGAAGGUUGGGUAACACUAACUGGAGGACCGAACCGACUAAUGUUGAAAAAUUAGCGGAUGACUUGUGGCUGGGGGUGAAAGGCCAAUCAAACCGGGAGAUAGCUGGUUCUCCCCGAAAUCUAUUUAGGUAGAGCCUUGAGGUGACACCUUUGGGGGUAGAGCACUGUUUCGGCUAGGGGUCCAUCCCGGAUUACCAACCCGAUGCAAACUACGAAUACCAAAGAGUGAUACUCAGGAGACACACGGCGGGUGCUAACGUCCGUCGUGGAGAGGGAAACAACCCAGACCGCCAGCUAAGGUCCCCAAGUCUAUAUUAAGUGGGAAACGAAGUGGGAAGGCUUAGACAGCUAGGAUGUUGGCUUAGAAGCAGCCAUCAUUUAAAGAAAGCGUAAUAGCUCACUAGUCGAGUCGGCCUGCGCGGAAGAUGUAACGGGGCUGAAAUAUAGCACCGAAGCUGCGGCAUCAGGCGUAUCACUAAUACGCCUUACGAUUAACAAGCUAGAAUGGCACGAAGCGUCAUGAAAGGUUGUUCAAGCAACCCGAACGUUGAGUCGGGCAUCUUAGAGUAAGGAUGAUUAGUGAUACGCCUGUUGGGUAGGGGAGCGUUGUGUAAGCGGAAGAAGGUUCAUCGAGAGGUGGGCUGGACGUAUCACAAGUGCGAAUGCUGACAUAAGUAACGAUAAAACGGGUGAAAAACCCGUUCGCCGGAAGACCAAGGGUUCCUGUCCAACGUUAAUCGGGGCAGGGUGAGUCGGCUCCUAAGGCGAGGCUGAAAAGCGUAGUCGAUGGGAAACAGGUUAAUAUUCCUGUACUUGGUAAAGCUGCGAUGUGGGGACGGAGUAGGUUAGGUUAUCGCACUGUUGGAUAUGUGCGUUUAAGUUGGUAGGUGGGAAGUUUAGGCAAAUCCGGACUUCCUUAACACAGAGAGAUGAUGACGAGGCUCUACGGAGCUGAAGUAACUGAUACCACACUUCCAGGAAAAGCCACUAAGCGAAAGGCUUUACUAAACCGUACUGAAAACCGACACAGGUGGUCAGGUAGAGAAUACUCAGGCGCUUGAGAGAACUCGGGUGAAGGAACUAGGCAAAAUAGCACCGUAACUUCGGGAGAAGGUGCGCCGGCGUAGAUUGUAAGGGCUAGCCCCUGAAGGUUGAACCGGUCGAAGUGACCCGCUGGCUGCAACUGUUUAUUAAAAACACAGCACUCUGCAAACACGAAAGUGGACGUAUAGGGUGUGAUGCCUGCCCGGUGCUGGAAGGUUAAUUGAUGGUGUCAUCGCAAGAGAAGCACCUGAUCGAAGCCCCAGUAAACGGCGGCCGUAACUAUAACGGUCCUAAGGUAGCGAAAUUCCUUGUCGGGUAAGUUCCGACCUGCACGAAUGGCAUAAUGAUGGCCAGGCUGUCUCCACCCGAGACUCAGUGAAAUUGAAAUCGCCGUGAAGAUGCGGUGUACCCGCGGCUAGACGGAAAGACCCCGUGAACCUUUACUAUAGCUUGACACUGAACAUUGAAUUUUGAUGUGUAGGAUAGGUGGGAGACUUAGAAG